UACGAAGGGGGCUAGCGUUGCUCGGAAUCACUGGGCGUAAAGGGUGCGUAGGCGGGUCUUUAAGUCAGGGGUGAAAUCCUGGAGCUCAACUCCAGAACUGCCUUUGAUACUGAGGAUCUUGAGUUCGGGAGAGGUGAGUGGAACUGCGAGUGUAGAGGUGAAAUUCGUAGAUAUUCGCAAGAACACCAGUGGCGAAGGCGGCUCACUGGCUCGUAUCUGACGCUCAGGCGCGACAGCGUGGGGAUCAAACAGG
rnacentral:rRNA from 1 species